rnacentral:lncRNA from 10 species
UAUUAGAAGACAGAAACUCCAUACGCGUCAUACACCUGCACCCGGGAGGAAAGGCGAGGCUCUGCAUCUAGAUUUACCUCGUUCUCUUUUGUCUCCGCUUUUUUUUCACAUUUCCUUGCGACCCUGGCCCUUGAGCGACAAAAAGGGGAAGCCAAGGCUGGCCCGAGGAACGGAGAGGGCACAUGGCCUAGCCACAAGUGGAGCUUCUGCUCCGCCCGAAGGGAUGCGCUGGAGCGGCCUCUUCCUUCUGCCACGGUCUUUCUUUGCCAACUAGUAGUAGAGAUGGGGUUUCACCAGGUUAGCCAGGCUGGUCUUGAACUCCAGACCUCAAGGGAUCCGCCUGCCUCAGCUUUCCAAAGUGCUGGGAUUACAGGUGAGAACCACUGCACCCAUCCUAUUAAACUUUUAAAUCAUGAUAGUUACCAUGUAUAGAGUGUUUAUAUGCCAGGCAUUGAGCUAAGUCUUUUACGUCUUGCGCUCAUUCUGUGCAACAGCCCAAUGGGAGAAAUUCCAUGAAUAUAGUUACCAUUUCCUUGAUUUCUAGAGAAGCUGGAUAUGUUUUCUUUUUUUCCAGUAUUAUUUCUAUUUAUCCUUUUGUGAAUUGUCUGUUGUUAUUUUCAUUGGAAUAUUCUCUUUUUUUGACAGAGUCUCACUCUGUUGCCCAGGCUGGAGUGCAAUGGCACGAUCUCGGCUCAUUGCAAACCUCUGCCUCCUGGGUUCAAGCAAUUCUCCUGCCUCAGCCUCCCAAGUAGCUGGGAUUACAGGCACCCGCCACCACGCCCAGCUAAUUUUUUGUAUUUUUAGUAGAGACGGGGUUUUGCCAUGUUGGCCAGGCUGGUCUCGAACUCCUGACCUCAGGUGAUCCACCCAUUUCGGCCUCCCAAAGUACUGGGAUUACAGGUGGAGACUGGACCUCAGAAGAGGGAGUGGGUGCCCCGAGAACUCACAGCUAGCGGACAGUGGAAAGGGCAGGAGCCGGACCAAGGUGAGGACAGUGGAACUGAAGGCCGCUGGUUACCUCUCCUGCCCUCCGCUGGCCACAGUGGAGAAGACAGCCCCUCCCUCCUGCUCUGACCUGACAGUGUUCAUCCAUCGCCCUGUAUUAGCGAAGAACAACAUCAAGCUGGCUAGCAAGGAACUGUAUACAGGGUCCAGCUGGGUAUCACACUGGAUCUCACCCAAAGCUUAGAUGUGAUCCAGCUCAGUAUCACAAAGCAGAACGAAAAGGAUGUGUUUGGGCUGAGAGGCCAUACAUUGGCUCCGGCAUGACGGGUGACUUCUUCCGAGUCUGGCUUCUGCAGCACACAGGGCUUCGCCAGCACCCAGCUCCUGCAGCAUGGGCAGCUCCUGUGACAGCAGGCGCCCGCAGCCUGCAAAGCGUCUCCAGUGCCGCCGCCUCAGUGAACCUCAACCAGCGGCACCUAGCAGCUUUCUCUGCCACCCUCUUCAGGUAGUUCUGUAGCAGCGCGUUUCUCAUGAGACACUUCCCUGUGAGCAGCUUUUUCUACCCUUGAGGAUGGAUUUCCAGCAAAUUCUGCCCAUGUGGUACCACAGCCACUUCUCUGCCAUUCAGUGAAACUGCCGUUGUGCCCUCUUCAAGGUCUGGAUCUAAGCCCAGGGACCAGGAAACCUCUUGCUUGAGUGCUGGAACUCAGGCCAGAAGGUAUGGCUGCUGCUAUGUGCUGUGACCAGAGAAUCAGAGUUCUCUUUACUUCUUACCAGCCAACCUCUUGAAAAUGCCUUUUUGUUUUUUGUUUUUUUUUGAGACGGAGUCUCGCUCUGUUGCCCAGGCAGUGCAGUGGCUCACUGCAACCUCCGCCUCCUGAGUUCAAGUGAUUCUCCUGCCUCAGCCUCACAAGUAGGUGGGAUUACAGGCAUGUGCCACCACGCCCAGCUAAUUUUGUAUUUUUAGUAGUGACGGGGUUUCUCCAUGUUGGUCAGGUUGGUCUCAAACUCUCGACCUCAGGUGAUCCACCUGUCUCAGCCUCCCAAAGUGCUGGGAUUACAGACGUUAGCCAGAGCGCCCAGUCUAAGCCCUUUAUAGCUUAAUUCUAUAUAUUAAAUUUUCCCAGUUCAAAUUACUGUGUGCUUCCCUUCUCCUGAUUGGACCUUGCUUGAUACAAAAUUAGUACAAGGAGUGGUCUCAAGAGAUAGAUGCACAAAGAAGGGAUAUGGGGACGGAUUUGGGUAUUUGGGCUUGAGUGCAGACUGAGCUCCUUGACAAUGAGAAAUAGGAUAUGUAUUAGGGUUCUCCAGAAACAGAAUAACAGAAUCUAUAUAUACAUGUGUAUGUGUGUGUAUAUAUAUAUAUAUAGAGAGAGAGAGAGAGAGCUUUUAUGUGUGUGUAUAUGUAUAUAUAUAAACACACACACACUAAGGUAUUGCCUCACAUGAUUAUGGCAGUCGAGAAGCCCCACAAUCUGCUAUCUGCAAGCUGGAGACCCAAGGUCAGUGGUGCAGCAUUUUUUUUUCAGAUGGGGUCUCCCUCUGUUGCCCAGGCUGGACU